rnacentral:tRNA from 1 species
AAUGACGAGCCUGACUUAAAGGAUUAUCGUGAUAGGAUAAAACAUGUAGAUAAUUAAACUACCUUCAUUA